CUUCUUAUUGGGUUUAGAUUUUCUGAAGCAAACUGAGUAAGAUUUAUCUUUUCUGAGUCUAGUGGUUUUAAGUUUUUGAAACCAAAGCUUCAAAGACAGAAGAACAGGAUCGUCAAGCAGUUGGGGCCACCCAAGCAAAGGCCUGAAGCUUCUAGCCAGGCCAUUUGUUCUGGUCAUGUUUUGGGGCCUAAGACAAUUGUUUGGGAAGAAAACUUGGGAUUCCACAGCAAGCGUAAUACAAUAUAGAUAUUAUUGUUAAGGAGAGUUUAUUUUUAUAGUGAUGAAGUUUUCCAAUAAUUAAAAGGGUGAUCAAGUGGUAUUAUGGGAGAUUAUUUCUCAGUGGACUAUGUAGAUGAGCAAUCCUUCUCUUCAUAGGAUAUUUUAGAAUUUAGUUUACUCUAAAAUAUGAACCCUUAAGUUAAUAAACAGGGUGGCAUCUGGUGCCAAGGAUUAAAUAUUUACUGGUAAAAUAUACAGUGAUGAAAAGGAUUUUCCAACAGGCGAUAAAUCAAAUAGUCUGAGCUCUGUAUUAAAUAUUAUUUUUAUCAGGGAAAAAAUAAAACUUGGCCCAUGGAACAAAGUUAACCCAUUGUUGUGGAUUCCUGGAGCCUAACUUGUGAGGAUCAGCAGACAUUCCUUUUAAAAACCAGGAAGUCCAGUGGACUUGCCAAAGUGCACACACUUAGUGAGGAGCAGAACAGCUGUAAAUACUUAUAUAUGCACCGGUUGUUGGAACCCAGGCUGUGUCUCAAUGAAGAUAAUGAAUCAAUUAUUGAAAGUAAACCAGCAAAUGGGAUUUUACACAGGUAUUUUUCCCAAAAAACUACCUGUUGCGAAAUCAUAGUAUAGGUCCAGUCUUUUGUUUGUUUUUGGCUUUUUUUUGGUUUGUCUGCUUUUGUUUUGUCAUCAAAAAGUUGAAUUUGCCAUUCUUCAAUGCUUUCAGAACUGAAUGGAGAUUGCGAUGUUGCAGUCCUUAUGUGUGACCAUUUUAUUGGAAACUGUUAGUGUAUUUAUGAAUUAUGUCUCAGAUUUCUGUCAUUGGCUCCCUUUCUAGAUCAAGACCAAAGGAAACCUCGUGCCUGUUUGUCUAGAUUAGGGGAAGGUAAUUGCUGCAACCCACAGUGACUAAGGAAUUUGGUUUUACCCUUAGAAGUAGCGUUUAUCACAAGCUGAAUAACUUGAGUUCAAUCUACUGUCAGAGUCCACCAAUUGCCAGGGUUGGGUGCUGAGAACCAGACAAGGCAGGAGAAAGAGGAAAGGCCUCUCUGGAAUGCUCAGUUAUUGCAAUAAAGACUCUUCUAAGAAACA
rnacentral:lncRNA from 1 species